AUUGAACGCUGGCGGCAUGCCUUACACAUGCAAGUCGAACGGUAACGGGCCUUCGGGUGCCGACGAGUGGCGAACGGGUGAGUAAUACAUCGGAACGUGCCCGAUCGUGGGGGAUAACGAGGCGAAAGCUUUGCUAAUACCUCAUACGAUCUACGGAUGAAAGCAGGGGACCGCAAGGCCUUGCGCGGACGGAGCUGCCGAUGGCAGAUUAGGUAGUUGGUGGGAUAAAAGCUUACCAAGCCGACGAUCUGUAGCUGGUCUGAGAGGAUGAUCAGCCACACUGGGACUGAGACACGGCCCAGACUCCUACGGGAGGCAGCAGUGGGGAAUUUUGGACAAUGGGCGCAAGCCUGAUCCAGCCAUGCCGCGUGCAGGAUGAAGGCCUUCGGGUUGUAAAAUGCUUUUGUACGGAACGAAAAGACUUCUUAUAAUACAGGAGGGUCAUGACGGUACCGUAAGAAUAAGCACCGGCUAACUACGUG
rnacentral:rRNA from 1 species